AUGAUGAUGUCACUGACUCUACUGCUGGGCACCCUGGGGCUCCUUGUUCAGGGUUCUUCAGGAGAAAUCAUUCUUACUCAGUCUCCUGGAUCUCAGUCUUUUACUCCAGGAGAGACUGUCUCCAUCAAAUGCAAAACCAGUUCAAGUGUUCACAGGAAUGAUAUCAGCUGGCUCCACUGGUACCUUCAGAAAUCUGGAAAAGCUCCUAAACUCCUGAUUUAUAGAGCUACAGGCCGUCAGUCUGGAGUUUCAGAUCGUUUUAGUGGAAGUAGAUCAAACACUGACUUCACUCUGACCAUCAGAGGAGUUCAGGCUGAAGAUUCAGGAGUUUACUACUGUCAGCAGAGUCUUAACGCACCGCUCACACAGUGA